UACGUAGGGUGCAAGCGUUGUCCGGAAUUAUUGGGCGUAAAGAGCGUGUAGGCGGCCCGAUUAGUCCGCUGUGAAAGUCCAGGGCUCAACCCUGGAAUGCCGGUGGAUACUGUCGGGCUAGAGUCCGGAAGGGGCGAGUGGAAUUCCUGGUGUAGCGGUGAAAUGCGCAGAUAUCAGGAGGAACACCAAUGGCGAAGGCAGCUCGCUGGGACGUGA
rnacentral:rRNA from 1 species